rnacentral:rRNA from 1 species
AUUGAACGCUGGCGGCAUGCCUUACACAUGCAAGGUCGAACGGUAACAGGUCUUCGGAUGCUGACGAGUGGCGAACGGGUGAGUAAUACAUCGGAACGUGCCCGAUCGUGGGGGAUAACGGAGCGAAAGCUUUGCUAAUACCGCAUACGAUCUACGGAUGAAAGCAGGGGACCGCAAGGCCUUGCGCGGACGGAGCGGCCGAUGGCAGAUUAGGUAGUUGGUGGAUAAAGCUUACCAAGCCGACGAUCUGUAGCUGGUCUGAGAGGACGACCAGCCACACUGGGACUGAGACACGGCCCAGACUCCUACGGGAGGCAGCAGUGGGGAAUUUUGGACAAUGGGCGAAAGCCUGAUCCAGCCAUGCCGCGUGCAGGAUGAAGGCCUUCGGGUUGUAAACUGCUUUUGUACGGAACGAAAAGACUCCUUCUAAUAAAGGGAGUCCAUGACGGUACCGUAAGAAUAAGCACCGGCUAACUACGUG